UUCCCUCCCUCCCUUCCUUUCUUCUCCUCUCUCCUCACCUUCCCUCCCUCCCUCUCCCUCCCUCUCCCUUCCUUCUCCCUCCUUCCUCCCUUCUCCCCUCUUCCUCUUUCUCUCCCUCCCUCUCUCCCUCUCCAUUCUCUCUCUCCUCCCCUCCUUCCCACCCACCCAUCCAUCCAUCCUUCACUCAUUCAUUUGCAAACAUGUAUUGAACUCCUAUUGUACCAGGCACUGUGCUAAUUGGAAGGCUCAAUAAAGUGAAUCUGGGGAGGACCAGGAUACAUCACUGCCAGGGAUGACAGAGAAUAAAGUGCUGUGAUAGGGACAUGGGGCAUCCGAUGCCUGACAAGAGAGGGACCGACUCUACCUGGACAAAGAGUGACCUCUGGCCUUGUGUGUGCCUUGCCAUUGUUUCCUCUACAAAAGUGGGUCAUCUGACCUGAUUUUUUCAGUUAAUUUUAUGAGCAUUUCCCCAUGACCAUUAAUAUUUAAAAUGGCCUUUUAAGAGACAGCCUUCCCAUUGUCUUUUGUGGGAUUGCACUACUGAGCGACCCGUCUCCAACCUGUAUUGGCAAAAGCUAUGGACGAGAGAGGCCUCAUGGAAAAGUACAAAGGGAGAGGCCUUGGGGUCUGACCUGGCUCCCAAGAGCUCAGAUUCCGGGUAGUCUCCUUUCCUCCCCCUUGUUCCUCGCCUUGGACCCCCUUUCACUCUUUCAGUCUGAACCUUAAGAGAAGGAUUCAGCCCACCUAGGUGCUGGGCCCCACUUGCUGUGACCCAUCAUUGUUUCUGCAUGGCGACCAGGGAGCACCUGCUCCCUGCCAAGCCCAGCGAUCAGGACCAGAGUAUGUGCAGUUCUGACCUGUGUUCUCCCCUCCCCUGGCAGAGAGAAGCUCAGUGACUGUCCUUGCGUCAUUUGAGCAGAGCCCACAAAAGGCAGCUGCUGCCCACGGGGAGCCUGUCAAACGAGGGCCCAGUGGGCAAUGUGAGCUGAAGUUCCUUGACCACAACAAGCCUACCAAACCCCACUGGCUUUCCCCCAACCACUGCAGGCUACAAGUCCCCCAGUGACCCUGAUGUGCAAUGAGUCUUCCUGAACCCUGUCCCUGAAGCAGCCAUCACGUGGGGUAUGGAUUCAAUUUUAUUUGCUCGCAGGUGUCUGUUUAAUUGGCCCAGCACCACUGCCUUUGGAUGCCGCUUGUGUCUGAGUCUACAUCAUUUGUCAGAGUUUUAUGUAUCUUUUUUCUGAGGUAGUAAUAGUCAUCCUCUGGAUGAGAUCCUAGAGCCUGGAAAGUUCCAACCUGAAAGUCUGUACCCAGGGACAGGACCCUGUUGGGCAGGAUGACAACGAGGAAGUUUCUAGAGUGGGCGUUCACCCUGGAGGGGCCCUUGGAGAUCAAGGAGUUCAGCGUCCUUGUUCCAUACCCAAGGACACAUGGGCUUGGAGAGUUCAUAUGAAUUGCAACCAUUUUCUCCACGGGAGGGAACACCGUCUCUGAGGCUGCUCAUCUGUCCUGGAGCCUUAAGCAAGUGUCUGUGGGAGGGCACUGGCUUCUUCUCCCUGCAGUUCUUCCUUCUAUACCUGUGUCUCGUGGCUUUCCUGCCCGCCUCAGAGGAGGAUAUCUGGGGCAUAUCAGGUAUACACAGUCACCCACAUUCAGACUAUGAAGGGCGUGGCCACUGCAUGCAGGACCAGAGAACGGAUUUGGACACGUCUGUAAAUAAGCCGCAGGUUCACAGCACAGUGCCUUUCAAGGGAAGCACUGUAAGCUCACUGAGCAAGGGACCCAAGAGUCAAACCCUGAAACGUCACCCUGAGGGGGACCGGGAAACAUUGUGUAGGGCGGUGACCCCAACUGGAUGGUCAGACCCAGUGUGGCCUCUGCCAUGGGGGUUCAGCUGCGUGUUUCUCGGUCUGGAGGCCCCAGCAGGGCCUACCCAAGCUGCGGGGAGGAGGCUCCCCUGCUGGGGGUUCUUUGACAGGGUGUUGGGUGUCAGAGGCCCAGGGCCAGAGCACCAGGGGCCCCAGUGGGAGGAGCCAGGUGUAGGGAUGCCACCAACCAGCCCAGCAGCGACUGCAGGAGGCCCGCGGAGCCUAAGUUAAGGUAGUGUGGAAACGUCUGGGAAGUCACCUCGGGAGCCUGGAUGGAACAUGCCAUGUUCUGAUUCAGUGGAUCUGCUGUCUGAGACGCUGCAUUUCCAACAAGUUCCCAGGAGUUGCUGGUGCCACUGCGCUAGGAAGCACAUCUUAAAGAGUGACACUUUUAGGCUACUUUUUUUUUCUACACCCUACUUCCAGCUUCUGAUUUCUAGCCCUGGAGGUGUAGGCCACAGCCCUGAGUAGCCCCUGCCCUACCUGCUUCUCUCCAGGGUUCCCCAGCCCUCCACUCUUCUCCCAGGGUCAUUCACAUCAUCUUUGAUUCGGGGUUUUGUCUGUCCCCCAAUCCCCCUCUCUUCUGCAGCACCUCUCAGAUAACCCCUGUAUUAAAAUCACAGUGACCAGACACACAUGCCCUGGCUGGGGGAUCACACAUGCGAACCUGCAGACAAUUCCAGAUACCCAAGGCCAGGAAGGCCCACGUGAGGAUGUCACCCACCCUGGAGGAGACUUGGGUGGGGUGGCAAAUUUCUAUUUGGAGGAAGAGGGUUUCCAGGAUGGCAGAUGCCAGAAGAUGGUCCUGAUGUCUGAGGAAGGGCCACCUAGUUUGAUAGGAUGGUAAGUCGUAAGCCCACUCAGAUAUUUGGCUGGGUCUUUCUGAUGAGUGGAAGAGACUUCAAAAAGUACUACAGAGUGUCCUUUCUUUCUCAGCAGCCAACAGGUGAAAAAACAGCUUUAUUCCGAAAGAAAAUGGUCUAGCCAUUGAGGAGGACGGAGUGUAUCCUGCAGGGCCUGCCUGGUCUUGCAGGACAGAUUGGCAGAGAGGAAGUCUUGCCAUGAUGUCCUGCCUGUCAAGUGUGAUGGGUAGGUCCCAGGGAAAACAGGCACUGCUGGGCUCCCCAGCAGCCAGUGCAUCAAGGAAAGACCAGGGCCCAGGGGGAAGUUAACACACAUAGAAAGAUGCUGCAUGUACUCAUGUGUGAGAUUGGGGUUCACUCUCGGCUAUAGAAAGAUGAGCUUUAGGCCAAAUAAUCACUCUCUAUACAGGGGAAUGAUGGCAGUGGCGCACUGUAUUUGGAAACUAGCUGGGCAGUGACAGAAAUUGGCCCAAGAGAGGUAUAGAUGCAGAGGAGAGGAAGAAAAGUAUUCUGAAACCCUCGAGUGCAAUGUCCACAAAGCAACAAGUUCAAACUUUCCAAGUCGAUGCAAAGAGUCCUGAGACGGGUGCAUGAGAACAGUAGACCUGCAGUUGGGGGAUUGCAGAUGCCAUGAGGAAUUGCAGACUUUUGUCCAUUGGAUUCUUGAGAUGUGUAAGGUUCCUUUUGUAUGUGGGGCUCUACAUAGUAUAUGAGAAAAGGUAAAUGGGUAGAUGGGCAGCUGAGUGGAUUCUCAGAAGGUCAGGAGGACAGCAGGGUGGUCCUUAGUCUGACCCCAAGGAAGAGCCAGCAAAGAGGACGGGCGGCAGGUGGGAGCUGCCUGGCUCAGGUCCCCUCAUAAGUGCUCUAAGUCAGGGGGUAUGGGGAUGGUUGCCGAGGGAGCAUUUUCGUGUGCCCCAUAUCACUGUCCAAUGAGACACACAGAGACCUCUCUUAGCCCAAAGCAACAAGGCAUGGCACUUCUGAACACUUGAGAGGACAGAGGAAAUUUGCACUCUAGAAAAGCAGCGUGAAAGUCAAGAGAUCCUCCUGCCUCUCUUCCCAAAGGGCUUUUCUGGCAGAUUUCCCUACCAGCUGACAUAUCCCAAGCCCCGCCUGCUUCUCUCCAGGGCUCCCCAGCCCUCCAAUCUCCUCCCAGCAUCAUUUGCAUCGUCUUUGAUUCAGGAUUUUGCCUGUCCUCUCCUCUCCUCUCCUUCCACAGUGAGAGGCUCACAGGUUCCCAUCACUUCUCCAGCCAUUCCAAGUCUUAGUCCUUCCUUUCCCCCCGACAGCCCCUGUUUCUGUCCAGGCCCUGAGAUCCUGCAGUUUCCUAACUGCUCUCUUGGCCUCUAGGCACUCUUUGCUCUGCUCUAGGGCCCCUCAGACACCUCUUUGGGGGCAUUUUUCUCAAGCACUAAUUUGGCCCAGGUCAAACAAACCUUUGGUGGUUCCCAGUUGCCAACAGGUUGAAAGUCCAAACUCUUUAACUUAGCUUUGCGGUUCUCUGAACCCUGCUCCCGGCUCUUCUUGCCUCUUCCUGCACUGGUUUCCGGCACAGCCAUUGCGUUUCUGCCUAGCUAACUUCUUCAAUUCAUCCUGAACGCACCAUGCUUCCCCCUCUGAUCUCCCAAUGCAUGGAUCUUUCCAGCCAAGGUCCAUUUCAGCUUCCAAAUCAAGUUCCACUUUUAAGUGGUGACAUUGCCUAUUGGGUGCCAGGCUCCCUUGGGAUUUAAGGUCUGGGGAAUUCAGAUGCAAUUCCACUUUGCAUGCUUUCCUCAGAGGCUUGUGACUGUGUGGCCGUCACAGCCUCCUGGUUUCUGCCUUCUGUACAUCUGUCUGCUCUGUUUACCCCAUCAUCUGGGUGUAAGAUGCAGUCAAAACUCAGCUACACGAAAUACUUAGGGGUCGUGUUUUGGUAUUGUGGAGAACUGGGGAUUUUCUGGAGAAACCCAGCCUUGUAUAUGGCAAACAUACGCGCACACACAAAUAUUUUUAAAAACAUUCUUCCUGCCCCCUUGCCACUGGAAUGUUCUCUUAGCCCCAGGUUGGCAUCCGGCCUCAAACUUUUGCUGCCGUGGCUCUUUUUGCUCACACUCUUCGACCUCUCACUCAAUGACUCCUCCCACCCCUUCUCCCAAGCCAACCCUCUGUACCCCCCACCGCCCCCCGAAAAAGAAAAAUCAAAAUCCAUCUGCUUGUCUCAUGCAGAUUAGUUCACCCUCUCCUCUGAGCCUUGGAAUAGAUCGCAUUAGAACUGUGGGACCUCACCUUCUGCCAUAUGCUCUGGUCAAACUCUCCCACCCUCACCCAGGCAAAUAGCAUUCUUUAAGAAGGCACCAGCUAUUCAGACAUGCCCCAUGUACUUGGUUAUGCCUGUGCAACAUCACUCCAUGGCUCCCUGGUUCAGCCUUUCCUGGGGUGGCCCAGUUUCAGGACGGGCCCAGACCGGACUGUUAAUUCUCUUUGUGCCAAGCCUUACGUCUUGCACUUGGGCAGUGGGGCAGUGACCACUUUUGAUAGGGACAAUGAUGGUAGUAUGAGGGCCCACCGCUGAGUCACUCUGGGAGCUUUUUUUGAGAGGAAGAUAGAGUCCACUACCUCUUUAAGAGUACUCUAAAAGUGCCAGAUGGCUCAGGUGCCUGAAAAGUCUCCUACAAAAGGAGGACACACAAGAAGAUGAAAACGCAGCCAGAUAAGGAGAGGGGCUCCCAGGAUCGCUGGAAGAAAGGGAAGUCCAUCACUGCAGAUAUAGUAGGGGGAAGCCCUGGGGCUGCCUGUCCCAAGUUUCAUUCAUUCAUUCAAAAGUGUGUGUCUGAGUCCUACUCUGUGUCAGGAACAAUUCUAGAAACUGGGAACACACCAGUGGACAAGACAGACUUGGUUUCUGCUUCCGUGGCGGUUAUACUAAGGGUCCUCCCUUAAAUCAGGAGACCACCCGUCAUAUUGUCUUAUGCCCAAUUUCUGCCUCCAAAGAAGUAAAAACUAAAAGGCAGAAAUGAAAUCCACAAGCAGACAGCCUGGCACCACACCCUGUGCCUGGUAGUUAAAGAUCGACCCCUGACCGAAUUGGUUAUUUGCAUAAAAAAGCGCCGUGAAGAUCCCUGUCCUGUCCUGUUCUAAUUACCCGUGUAUGCAUCCCCCAGUCACAUACCCCCUGCUUGAUCACGACCCUCUCAUGUGGACCCCCUUAGAGUUGUGAGCCCUUAAAAGGGACAGGAAUUGCUCACUCGGGGAGCUUGGCCCUUGAGACAGGAGUCUUGCUAAAGCUCCCAGCCGAAGAAACCCCUUCCUUCUUUAACUCAGUGUCUGAGGAGUUUUGUCUGCGGCUCUUCCUGCUACAAUACUAACCAAAAGACAGACAUCAAGCAAAUAAAAAUCUUGUGGUUGUGCCGAGAGCUCUAAGGGACAAUGGAGGGAUUGCCCAGUGUAACCCACAAGCUCAGGCCGUAGUCAGUACUGAAUCAAAUUCACAGGGACAGGAAGGGAUGUGGGUGGGGCCAGGGAUGACCAGGAGGGAGGCUCAGGAGAAAUGGCCAAGAGGUGAUAUGUGUCCCAAGUCCAUCAUGAGGGAAACCUUACUAACGAAGAGCCUGGAGCCAAUUCCCCAGGGCUAGAUACCCUCUCUGGGACUGGACUAAAUGAUUGCUAAGAGAUUCUUAAAGCUUCUUGCAAAGAAAUGCAGGCAGGAAAGAUGAUGAGUUUUAAUGGUUCUAAUUUGUAUUUUUUGCUUAUUUCACUUAGCAGGAAGAGGCUUCUGGCAUGGAAACAACUGAUUUCAUAGAGAACCUGCAGCUGGAUUCAAGUUCAACCCAGAAAAAUAGACAGUGAGGGCUACCUGAAGUUUGGGGAGGGAUUGCAUUUGUUCCAGCCUCAUGAGUCACACAAUAUUACACCAUCCUUGUGGGACAACUUCCAUAAGUCUUUUUGGGGCAGUUACCUGCCAGAGUUUCUUGUGGGGAAGGGCUUAGAGUAUGGCUCUUUCUUCGUAGGAAUAAUUUGAAGCCUGGGAUGCUGCUAUCAUUUUUACAGAGACUUUUUUCUUCUUCUGACAGACGCUGCUGGCAGUACCAGCCUGGGACACCAUAAUCCAAGUUCACAGCUUGAGUUUCCCUGGAUCAACCUGACAACACGAAGCUAAGUUCCAAGUCCAUGGAGGGUUGGUUUACUUCAGGCUCACCCUUAUUCUGAAAGUAUAGCCCUUCAGAGUUAGCAUAAAGGAGAUGAGGGGACCUAUUUGGGUCCCCAACUUUGGUGGCGCUGGGCCGUGACUUUUGUCUGUGAGCCAUCAGACGGGCAGUGCAUUUAUGAGCACAUUCAUUUGGAUCCACCAGUGGCCUCAAGGCGACAGUGGCUUUGAGCGCUGGGCUUACUGUCCUGCAUUCUCUUCUCUGUGACUGACUCUGCCCUGUCAUUCUUCACUGUCUUGUUAUUCUUGUUAUCUCUUAGAUGUCUUUAAGAAGACUGUUCUUUUUUUUUUUUCUUUUGAGAAAUGUGGCUUUGCUUUGUUGCCCAGGCUCCUGUGCUCAAGCGAUCCUCCUGUCUCAGCCUCCCAAAGUGCUGGGAUUACAGGCAUGAGCCACCGCGCCUGGCAUUUAUUUAUUUAUUUAUUUAUUUUCAAUAUCCCACCCUGCUUUCAUAACUGUCCUCAGAGGAUAGUUCCAAUGACCUUGUGGGCCAUUUCGAGAAGGGGAAAUCUUAGCUACUUUUCUCCACCUUUCCUUGUGGUGGGGCUUCUUGCCAGGCUGGGGAAAGUGGAGUGCAGCAGAGCCUGGGGGAGGGGAAAGGGCAGAGGGGAAUGUGGCUGUGCCCUAGGGUGUGAGCGGAGGAGGUGGGUGCUUCUGGUCUACCCAGAAGAGCCUCCAGAACCGGCAUCUACAUUCAUCUGCCACGGAGUCCAUGUUUCUUGAGGGGCUUGGCAGAUAGGGACAGCCCAGAAAGAGAGAGGAAGAGUCACGAAUGCCAGAGUGGCCUGCAGAACUCAGAGGAUCAGAGAGCGGGGGGGUCAAGCACCAGGGAGGCCCCUCUGCAGACCAUGCUGAUGGCCUGUGGGACAGAAGUCUUUCUUUCUUUGGUAACGAUUACCUUGGCCUUAGACUUUUACCAUUUUUGGAUGCCAAAGAAAAUCAGGCUUCUGAGCUUGCGAAGGCUGAGUGGAGUUCCAUGUGUCUCCUCUGGCCUUCAUAUGGCUUCCAGGAAGAAGCAUCCCCUUUAACUUCAUAAUUCCACAGGUCUUCUGUCAGUUUGUAAGAAAUCUGUCUAUUCACUUAUUCAUUCAUUUCACAAAUAUUUACUGAGCACCUGCUAUGUGCCAAGUCCUAUUCUGGGCACUGAGGACAUACCAGCCUCCAAAACAGACAGAAAGAAAAAGCCAGCCCAUGUAGAUUUCACAUUCUCAGGAAUGUUUUCCUGCAUGAGGAUAUGUUUAGAAAUCUUUCACCCACCUAAGUCAUCAGGGUAAGAGUUUGCUCUGCUAGUACUACAGAUUCCACAACUGCCUGCCAGGUUUACUUGCUUUUGUGCAAGGAAGAUUUUCUCUCCAGGACUCGUAUUUUCCAACAGCCCAAGGUCCAUGGAGUUUCUUUAGCUUCUAUCACUAGCCUUCUGGGAGUGGGCAGAUCCCUCUGCCAAGUUUACACCUGUAGGGUGAGGUGGGUUGCAUAGCAAACCAGAGCUCAGUGUUGGAGCCCACAAGGCUUCCAUCAAGGGAAGAAUGCUGGUGGAGGGUGACGGGUGGGUCUCUCUAGAUGUUCAGAGGGGCCUGUGGCUUAUUGCCUGGGUGGGCCAAAAUGUCAGCUAAGGGAACUACAGCAGAAGGUCAUUUAGCUGGAAUGUUAGGAUCUGAGACCAGGUAAUGACUUUGCUGGAGUUUAGAUGUCUGUCUAACUUCACAGGAGUACAGAGAUUGAAAAAACACUUGAUCCAGUCACAAUAUCUUCUGGAUACAUUCAUUUGCAUUCUCUUUCUCUUACACAGAUUAAGAAAUGGGAUGCAUAACAUAUUUGCAUGAUUGCAAUUUAUCACUUCCCCAGGGAGCAGGGAGGGGCUGCCUCAGUUCUAGUGAAGCCCCUGUGCCCCAGCAUUAGAGGUAGAUGGGUGAGGCAAGGGCGAUUUCAUGCCUUCCUUGAGGCAAGAUGUCCUCUUCUAGACAAGAGGGCAGCUUGUGUGUCUUGAGGGCCAUGCUUCUCCACCUACCCCCAUGAAUAAAGCAGUUAGUGGGGGUCCCCCAGGUAUGGCUAUUUUUGGGGAUUAUUUUAACAGGAAUACAGAGAGGCUAUAGAUCAGGUUCGACAAUUUGCUGCCUGCCAACACACACUUUACUUGUGUUUUAAAAUGUAAGCUCUGGAAACAUCCUAUGGGGUUCACAAGGAUGCCUUAGCAGCUGACUGAAGGAAGUGUCUUUCUCCAGCCCAGGUAGCAUUUCUGCCAGUCAUGGCUGGUGCUGGGCUGACAACAGUAGUUUUCUUUCUAAGACCCAGUUCCCCUCUGGAAGGAGAAUUCUAAAGGUGGAGGAAAAGCAUCAUCUCUUCUAGAACCUCUUUGUUUUUAUCUUUCUUAUACCACAUUAGCAUGGUGGUAUUCUCCAAGGAUCUUGGCAGGCAAGAACUGGUUUGGUUACUGUAUUUGAUUGCUUUUGUGGAGUCCAAUAAAGAGGACUAUUGUUUCUAGAAGGUCACUGGAAACAUGCAUCUGGCUCUUUGGUAAGCACAUUAAGACCAGUGUGAGGCUGAGGGUGUCCUGAAGCCCUGCUCUGAGAUAAGAAGACUUCUGUUCACGAUUUCAAUAAGAAUCAAACAAGGUAUGCCCAGAGCUGAGACACAGCUGAGCCAAGCAGGAAGAGAGGGCCGUGUCCUACAAUAAACUGCUGAUAUGUAUCUCUCUACCAUGUGCUGAAUUCAUUAGGGCAAGGGCUGGGUUCUUCUCCAGCAUUCGUAUCCCAUCCCUUUCCAGUAGCUGGACUACUUAGGACACUCUCAGUAAGUUUUUGUGAACUAAAUUGUAUCCUCAGAUACCUCCUUAGAAUUUCCAAAUCUGUCUUCAAAUUCAAAUGGAGAUACACAUAGCAGAGGCUGACACCUCCAAAAGAGUUUGGAGGAAGUUUACCUAAAUAUGUUACCUUCGUUUGCAUUUCCACCUUAUUCUCUCUUUCCCGCAGUUAUUAGUACUCAGAAUUGUAAGUGCUCGGGUGUCUAGUCACUCAGUUGACUGAUAGAAGAAAACUCAGUUCUUUGAGAUUAUGUCAGGGUGGACCAAACUGCGGUAACAAAUAGACCCAAAAUAUAAUGGUUCAAACACAAGAGAUGUUUAUUUCUUUCUCACAUAAUAUUCCAAGGCAGACAUUCCAGAUUGUUGGAGUAGGCGCAGGGAGAAAGUUCGGCUCUAUGCGUUCCCUCAGGAAACAGGCUGAUAGUGGCUUUGCCAUAUUCCAAUAUUAACUGGCUUCCAAAGUUGCUAUCACCAUUGUCAUUAUCAGUAUAGCUCAUGGGACCUGGGGAAGAACACAGAGGAGAACAUCUGGGAGGUCUUAUGGCCACUUGGAAGUGGCGUGCACCUCUUCUGCUCACAUGGGAAAGAACAUAGUCAGACACACUCAAACAUCCUGACUGGGAAGUGGGGGAGUGUACCUAGCCACCUUGGAAAUGGAGGAAAAUUUGGGUGGAAGUAGAGAGACUCAGGUUCUUGGAUUUGGAAGAGAUCUUAACUGUGAACGCAUCCAAUGGCCAACCCAGGAUAAGCACUGGCCUUCCUGCUGGAUUGCUCCCUGCCCCCAUCAUGUAUCUUGGCUGACUUUCUGAUCUAGGAAUACUAAGCAUCAAUCAGUGGAAGGAAAGCAGGAAGGGUCUCUUCUUUCAAAUACAUUCUUUGCCACUUGAUAAAAAAUGAUGAUACAGAAGAAGGAGAAAAUAAAUCCAGAGAAGCUGCCUGCAUGGGGAAACUCAUUCUUUGUGGCCCUGUGAGGCUGAGAUUGUGCCUCACAGAAGGGGCUACGUCACUGAUGAUGUUACAGGAUCUCUAAAAACCACAGUUACUGCUUGAAUCAUAACUGCUGCUUCCAGUUGGCUGUGGUUGCAUUUCUAGAAGGAUAACUACUUUUUGUCAUUCUGGAGACAAGCCAACAUCAACCCACACAUGACUUUAGAACGCUUUUCCACGUCCUAAUUGCCUACCUCCUGAAUAGGCUUUCUUUUAAGCUUGGUUGGCUUGACUUCUCCCAUCCAUCCCAUUUCUACACACCCUCUCCAUACCCCCACUAUAACUUUCUCAGGCAAACCCUGCAGUCCUGACUCGCUGGUAUCUGUUGAUUGUGUUUGGACUCUCAUGUCCUGCCACUGCCCUUGAGCUCUUAUUUCACCUUGUGCAGACCACCCCAGUCAUCUCACCCUCUCUCUAGGUCACUUGUGGGCACUUAUCCAUUGCCUGGAUUAUUGCAUAUGUUUGUUCAAUAUUAAUCAUGUCUUCUCUGUGAUGUUGUAUACUCCUUGAGCAUUUGGGACUUUCUCAGGCUUGAGCGUGGUGCAGUGAGCAUUCUGUACACAUUUCUGGACAGUGCAGUCUUGUGAGAAUCUGGGAGACUCUGCAGUGACUUGAGCCGGAGAUGCAGAUGAAUGUAAUUGUUGGAUGGUGGGGAUUGAUAAAACUUCUCUUACUGGUGGCUAGGAGCAGAAGAGGAGACUCAGCAGCAGGAGAGAACAACAAGAGGAAGGGCUCCCAACUACACUCAGCAUCAGUGAACCCCACCGUAGCUGGAUCAUAUCUGAAUUGGCCACACUCUGGGGCCUUAGACUGUCUGGGCAAUGGCAGGGUGCUGGCAGUUGGAGGGAUGCUGCUAGAGGCUGACAGUGUUCUUACUGGAAACACUCAGCUCAAUGGAUAGGACAACAGCUUCCCAAGGAGAUUGGGGAGCAAGGCCAAGCGAGGAAAGCAGGACUUGCGGAGGGCUUUGGGCCGCCUCACCUACUUUCCCUGCUUCUUCGCCCCAGGGGCCUUGCAGACAGUGCUUCUUGCCCAGAGAGAGUAAAGGGUGGGAUGGGGAGAGGGCAUCAUUCAUUUCUUGUGUCUGAGGUGAACGAGUGUGAGAUGAGCUGCGGCUCACUCUCUUCAAGCUGGAACUUAAAGGACUCCCAGCUGCCCCUACACUCCAGUCAUUCAUGGAGUGAGUGCCAAGCUCAUCUCUAUUUGAAACUCAGGGUCUGUCUGGGAGCCCAGAAUUCCUGAGCAAUUGUUUUAUGAGGUGUAAAGUGUUUCUUCAGCAGGGAGGAUGAUGCGGGGCAAGGCGAAGGCUUAGAAAAGACAGUUCUACUGUGCAAAUUGACUACAGACCUGGAUAGGAAAUAGGGAAACAAGCCACAUGCCUCAUAGCAGGUUCCCUGGGAAAUUCCCUCCUCUCCUAAUGUCUUUCCUACAGGCACCCCCCAUCCUGGUGGGCUAUGAGAUUUUGCCCCCUCAACCUGAGAACUGACAGGGGGUAAUCAGGGUGAGCGCUGGAGAAGCACAAGUGAGAUUCUGAAGAAGCGCAAGUGAGACUCUGGAGACCUCUGUAGCGUGAACUCUCUGCUGAGACCGUUCAACUUGUGCCUUUCUUAUGGCCCAAGUUCCAGCAGCACAUUUUCCAGUGUGGGAUCCCACACUGGAAAUCUGGCACACCCAGCUCUGCCAGAGCCCUGGGUGUUUACUGUGACACACCAUAGAGAAACGGGGAAGGAAGUCAAGUCCAUCAUGACAUGUCUUAGUUCUGGCCAUUUCUAACACCUAAGAAGAGGCUGACAGAGUGCCCGAGGGCCCCAGGGACACCACCCAUCUCCCAAGGGGGUGCUUUUUAGAGUUCUCCUUGCCACCCAGCUGUGAGGUAUGAAAUAAUUUAGUAGGCCUUGCACCAUUGAGAAUAAAAGGAGAAUAGACAAUUUCAGCACGCCUGGCACAUAGCAGGGUAAGUAUUGUUUGGUGAAACUUACAUUUCCUCUUUAGGUACACCAAUAGGUGCAACGCGUACCCACAUAAGAUGUAUUUCUUAUUGUGGUCCUGGUUAAAAAAAGCGUCUAAGUGGUUCUAUUACAGCAUCUCAGCUGAUUCCAAGUAUUCAGGGAAUGAGGGUGGAGCACAGAAUGGGAGUGGGGAGGAAGGUCCCAAAGAACGGGUUGAACUUUGCUGCCUCCUGAGCUAAACGUAGUCUCCCCACCUCCUUGAGGAUUUAAGGGCCUUUGACUCAGCCUUUUGGGACCUGAGAGACCACCAUAAGCCUUGUGCGUUGAAUACUUCUUGCAGCAGGCCCUGCCAAAAGUACCUGGAUGGGAAGGGCUGCCCUUUAAGAACUUGAAUUUAAAGGACUUCAGUGGUUAGUUGUAAAAGUAAAUGACGUACCAAGGGCUUUUAUUUAUCCCUAGAACUCCUGUAAUUUCCAAGAUGUAUAGACUGGAAGAAGAUAGCCCUGCUACUCAUACUUGAAAGAAAGGAGGAGAGGAGAGGUUGGCCCACCUCCCUCCUGCUCUCCCUCCCUUUCCCAGGCCUCCUUCUCUCUCUUUGCCUUGUCCCUAGCAGGGAAGGAGAUUGGAACAGGCAGCCUUUGGGGACUGUGGGACCCUCUUCCUUAUAGGUCAGAUCCACAGUGGCCCAGGAAGGCCCUACCUGGACAGCGAAUAGUGUCUCUAGGGGGAGGGAAGUUUCCUCCAGGUGGGACCUUUGGUCACAUGGCCUCACAUGGUUUAUGUCUCAGAGUGACAGGUGUUGCUUGUUAUAAGACACAAGAGUAAAAAGCAAAGAAGAGCAGACAAAGGCAGGUCCUCAAGGGAGGUGGGCUCUGCAGGAUUUCCUAAGAGCCAAAAAGGCACAACAAGGGAGCCCAGUGGCACUGGUAGGCUUCUGAGCAUAGGCAUUCCAGGGCUUUGUUAUUAUUUUUUCCAAAUGAAAACCUCUUUAGAAGAUCAACUGUCAUAAUUUGCCCAAGCUACAAGCUCAAACAUGGCUAAGAAACAUUGCUCAAGGUCAUUUCCAAAAGCACGUUCUUCCAGCUUUUCAAGGUCGGGGUGGGGAUUUGUGUUCUGUUCUCAUUUUUGCUUGUGUCUUUGCCCAUGGUUGAACUGAAGAGGUCUCUCCAGGCCCAGUGUUCACCGGAAGAAGGGGAGAUGGAAACUAUUCCCAGCCACUCUUCUCUCAAGAACUGAUGGGGAGUCAUGGGUCCCUGCCCCACUUGUCCAUGUGAGAGGGAAGCAGGUGUGCUUUUACCAGAAAGAGUUCUCGAGGGGUUAGCACCCCAGGAAUGCAUCUAUGCUGACUCUGCUUAUCAUGACUCCCCACCUUCAAAAUACAUCUUAGGGUCACCGCACAUCCCAGAAAGUGGCAACACAGGGGCACCCCUCGAUGUGCCGAGUAUCCAGAGUCAUGUUCUUGGAAUGCGUGACCAGCGUGUAAUUUAAGCAAAUGGAAUCUUUCCCAAAUGUCUUCUUUUACAACUGAAAAAACAAAUUAAGCAACAGAAGAAAAACAAAUCCAGAGAAAUAGCCUCUUCCAGGGAAGUCUGACCUCCCUGUCUAGAAGGUGAGGACAGUGCUGCAGCCGUGUUUCUGCUGGCUCUGGCCCGAGGCUGUCUCCCAGACAGCUGCUGUCCCACUGAGUUAGGUUCAAGCGAACAUGGCCAUUGAGAUCCAAAGUAUUUCUGGCUGGUUCGGGCAUGAGUCCUUUCUCUAGAUGAAUAUUUUAAUGUGGGAAUUCAGAGGAAAGCUAUGGGGAAGGCAGUGUUGGUCAACUGACGACGCUAAAGAAACACCUUCGGUGGUUGUCACGGUGAGUUUGGCACUGAAGGCUCUUUGCUGUUCUGACCUGAAGCUCUCUGUUAGGACUUCCUGCUGUUUUUCUCACAAGCCCUCAUUCUCGCUGACAGUUCAGAUCAUGCCCUGUGCAUAUCCAGUUUCCCCGGUAGGCACGGCUCCUCCUUUCACCUCAGUGCCCCCCUUUCCGCUCGGCCCACACUGGACUCUUGCUACCUCUUGUUUUGGCUUAUGUUUAAUCUUACUUUUUUAAGGCAACAUCUUCUGAUUGUGAAAUAAUUUAUACUUUUUUUUUGCAGAGAAUGUGGAAAAUACAGAAAAGUAUAAGCAGAAGCAUAAAAAUUAUUCACAGUUGCACCCUUGGAGGGAGCUGUCCUAUAAAUCUUGAUGGACUUUCAUCAAAUUCAAAGAAAAAAAAAAAGAUUCCACUGGGAUUUAAUUCAGAUUGCAUUUCACCGAAAAAUUACAAGGAUUAACAACAAGGAUUAACAGCAUUGCUGCAUUCAAUAUUGCAACCCAAGGUUAUGUCUCUCUAUUGACUAUUCUCUUUAAUUAAUCUCUGUAAAAAGUUUGCAUUUUUAAUAUAGGUCUUGGAUAUUUCUUAUUAGUGUUCUUUAUAUUUUUUUCCAAUACUCUUAAGAAUGCAUUUUUCUCCCUAUAUUUUCUGCUUGUUGUUAGAAUAGAAACAGUAUUUAUUUUGGAGAUUUUUGUAUUUUUAUCUUGUAUCUGACCCCUUCCCUAAUUUUUAUUAAUACUAAGAAUUUUACAGUCAGUACUUUUAUAUUAUCUUGGUGCAUAAUCGUACUAUAGUCUGUAAGUAACAAACAUUUUGUUUCCUUCUUUCUAUUGUAGAAUUUGAGAAGUCGUCAGUGUGUAGUCCUGUUACCUUAAUUGUUUCUGAGUUAUGGGUUGAAUUUAUUUUGAAAUUUCAAAAAACUUCAAAGGGUAGUAUGUUAUUUUUGUGUUAAUCAAAAUGAACAAUGGGUUUAAAAAGCUUGAACAACGUCAUCUUGGGAGUGCCAGAUGAAUAGGAUGGCCUGUAUGUCAGGAGCAUGCCCACAUUUUUCUUGAUAGGGUGAGUUUAUUGUCCCGGAUGAAUCCCAGGAGUACUAGUCCAUGAUGCUCUUAUUCCCUGGUGCUUUAACAUGAAGUGCAGCCGGAGUCGGCCUGAACUUUAGGAAAUGAGGUCGUAAGUCGAAAGAACAGGGAAUUGAGAAAGCACACAGAAGCAGCCAGGGCCAACAUUUUCCCCUAAACAAGCCAAUCAACAAAAAGCAAUGCCAAACAAGCCCCUCUGAAACUUUCAAAGUCCUCAUCCUAGUACCUUCCUAGCACUCUAGGAGACAUCUUUCAGCUGUUGAUUUAUGAACGCUGAGAGGCACGUGGAGGAAUUAAUGGAGGUAAAUAUCUAACUUAAAAAAUCUUCAGUAGGCAUUUUUAGACAAUCCUCCUUGAAAGAAAAGUGUGGAUGCUCUGUGCAUGUAUUGACUGCACCUGCAGGGGUAUAGCUGGAGAACACCCAGUGAGCAUCUUCAGGAGCCAAGUCACGCAGGGGCUUAGCUCUCAGUCCAUUGCGACAGUUCCAUGAUGCCUUCUGACCACUAAACACUCUGAACUCUUUUCUCUCAUCCUCUGUUAUUCGCUUUGGACCCAUAACAGACUCAUUAGUUAAAAAUAAGAAGCAAAGGUAAUCCUGAUGUUGAAUUACAAGUUAAUGCAGAGCACAGACAUGAAAAUAAUUCUAUGGGUUUGCUGUAGCAUAAUCCUUGCCAGAUCUCCAAGUUCCAUUCAUCUAAUGAAAAGCCUUAGUUUGAAGAACAUUUUGGAGAACUCUUACAUCAAGAGGUCUCCAGUACCUCAAAAACCAGUGUUCAAAAGGAAAAUGCACACGCAUUUCAGGGAGGUGGGAAUAAAAGCCUUCCUUUGCGCAGCGUGUUACAUGUGGAAAUGUGGAACACACACGAUCAUUCUUACUGUUAAAAAACCCCACAAAGAUUAUAAAAAUAUGUCAGUUUUUUUUUGGUGCAAAAACUCACACGAUUAAAAAUAUUAUACUAUGAAAGCAGCUUUGAUCUAUUCUUCAGUCAUUUCUGUGACGUGUGGUUAAAUUUUAAUCUGUUUAAAUUUUUUAUUUGAUUCUUCCAAACCAAACACAAUAUCUCAUUUUAAAACGUAUCUGCUGAUAGUGGUUUUUCUUCUCGCCUGAAUCAUGCUGAGAACAGGUGUAACCAGAUGUCCUCUUAGCCUACAAACACAUUUCAGAAAAUCAUUAUAAGAUGCUCAAUUAACUUUGAGCAAAGUAGUUUCCUGUAUCCUUCAAAGAAAGACAUGUUUUCAAAAUGUCACUGCAGUAAAUAAAAGUGUUGACAUGCUGUGUAGGGCUAUUAGUUAUGGGGCCAGAAUUCAAAAUAGCUGAUUGGAAGUAGGGCCAGUUGUCUAUCAAAGUAUUUCUAAUUUAUGGCAACGAAAUCAUGUUAUCUGCAUAGAACAGAACUCAGCUCUCCCUACUUCUCUGUGAUGGGGGAUGUAUACUGUAUCUGGCUCAUCUAAAAGUGGUUCCAAAUCACUAACAAAUAUGAAUGGGUGUUAGACUAUGCUCCUAUUCACCCCCACUGGAAAAUCUUAUCGGAUAAAAGACAGUUUUGAUGUCCUUUGCUUUGAUGUUAAAGUAUGGGCUUCCUGAAUACAUCAAUACAGGGGUCUGAACUGAUCUUAGUACAUUUCAAAGCAUUUCUUGUCAAUGGGAGUCAAAACUCAAUGCAAGCUACAGCCUCAUGUUAUUCCUAAAAGAUUUAUCUUUGGAGUAAUAAACAGUAAGCCAAUUGUCCUUAAGACCACUACACUUAAAUCCUUGGUUCUCGUAUACAACAUUAGCUCCAGACAGCUAUAACUGGAUGUAAUCAAGAAAGAAAUGGUGUUAAAAGUUAAAAAAAUUUAGAAUUAUAAAAGCAUGAAAAUAGCUGCUUACUAUAAAAAUGUUAAAUACGAGACUCUACAUAAUAAAAAGUGAAAGCUGUAAUUUACCUGCUCCCCAUCUCUCCUUCUCCCCAGUGCAACUCUCCUGCCUGGGUCUGCAGGACAAACUCUGGUCCUCCAGCAAGGAUUUAUGUUAUCUGAAGUUUAUUUAUGGCAAAGAGAUUUUUAUAAUUAAUACUGUGAUAAGACAUGGUACUCUUUGACCAGGAAUAUUUUUUGGGGUGUGGGGGUGGGGGUUAGGACUCGAGUUCUUAUGAAACAGUCACAAGGAGUUUAAUCAGAAGGCACAAUCACUUGCUAGGUAGCAAGAGAAAAAAUCCUGCCCCUCACUGUUUCCUAGAGAUUGCUGUCGAGGGUCUGUGAGAAAUCAACACAUGGCCACUAUGGCUUGGCAUACUUACUUUCCUAAUCAUCCAAAUCAACUAUUGCAAACACCUAAAAAAGAGUGAGAAAUGGAGCCAAAUGUGAUAUAAUCUAUGAUCUUGGCCCCAGAGUAGAAAUGAGGUUGGUUUUUUUCAGAUUUAUGCCAUGUACCACAUUGAAUGUUAUCAAUACUGUACAUGAAUACAAGGGUUGAGGGUUUUUGUUUCCAUUAAGAAUCUGUUUCCAGGAGAACAGCCCAUGGGAAAGUAUUGUCCUUUUUCAACUACAAAUAUGGAGGGCCCCAUUGCCUAUGUUAAAAAAAAAUCUCAGAAUUUUGGCUUAGGCAAUAAACUCUUUAGUGGAACAUACAGAGUAAAUAAAAGAUCUCUAAAGGGAGACCACAGGCCCCAAGCAGACAGAAUGGACCAAACAUACAGAAGGAAUGUAAAUAUAGCUGACUUCAGUUUUAUUUUAUUUUUAAAUUGAGAUAAGCUAAUUUCUUCCCUUGAAAAACCCACUUGAGCAUACCUCUUAGUUAUGCAGAAACAGAGUAAGCACUCAUUAUAUUUUAUGGAUUUAAAGUGCUCCAGAACCUUCUGAGACUUGCCCUGAAUCUCCUGAAUGCAAAGCUAAUUAUAUGAGGAGGUGGGCCUACUUACAUAGGAGCUAGUGUCUUCUGGGAAAGACUCCAGCCCCUAGGUCCUGGUGUCCAAUGGUCCAAAGUCUUUUGGAAUGGAUAAGAGUGGACCAGAUUAAGGCACAAAAUAACAGCUUGAGAAAAGACUGGUGACCCAGGCUUACUGUACAAGGAAGGUGUAAGUUGGAUGAAAGGGUGGGAUUCUAGUACAAAAUGUGGUAGAGAUGGAUGCAACCCCCUAACCCGGUGACACAGGCAUACUGGAUGUGCUUUGGAAAUAGUAACUGUGUGUGUGUGUGCUCAACGGAGCACCAUGUGUUGAGUUUAAUGCCAUGGAAGUCAAAAUACCAUCUUCCUUUGAAGCCUGUGGCCUGCACAGGGCCAUGCAAAAUCGUCACUGCUGGAUGAGCAGGAGUCCAGGGGACUGCACAGGGUCAUGUGUGUUCAACAGCGACACCAUGUGGCAGCGAGACCCAACAAGGAGACAGAAGCUGUUGGAAUGCAGGCCUCUUUCCCUGUGACAUUUGAAAGCAUCAACACAGUCUUCGCACGGGAGUCCAAUCUGCCAGAGAAGGGCAAAGCAAAUCGGGCCUUAUAUUAAAUUCCUGGAAGUCAAACUUCCUGGUCCAAUGAGGAACUUCUCAAGGGCCUUUGCUGGAGAAAGGAUGUUCAGCAAGAAUGAAGGACAGCUUCGUUCAGAUGGAUGAGCUUAGUGCAUCCUGAGCGGUGAGCUGACCGGGGCCCAGUUCUUCCUUCUACAUAUGGGGCCCAUCGCAUUCCCACUGACUCAGAUGCUGAGGGGCCAGACUGAAGGGACAGUGGCCAUUGCAUCAAGUCAGAGAACGGAUCUGACCCAUCUAGUAGAAGCUUAUUGUUUUGGCAGAAGCACAAGCUCUUAGAGGUGCAGCUGCAGGGUGUGACCUGUUGGGGACAUUGAGCUCAGUGACCAUGGGCCCUGAGAGUCUGAAAUCCUGGAAUUUCUCCCAAAACGAAGUCCAUGUAGGGAAGCCAAAGUGUGAGUCUUACCCGGCUGGUUUACAACUGACUGACAUUUGCUGCCUGGGCAGCUGCUGUGGGUGUCUGGAAACCCUACUGGACUAGGACUGGCCCCAGCAAAAAACAAGUGUUAUAGCUGCCCAGUGUCCUCUGAGUGGAUGCUGGUGAUUCUGGUAUGGAGCCCAGAUGUAAGGCAGCAGGUGGUCCAGAAGGCACCAGAAGAGGUCUCCUGUCAAAGUCAGGGCCAGAGAAGAAGGCACAGGGAACCUACUGCACGAGACUUUCACUUGCAACGAGCAACCCAUGAUGAGGAGGGAGGAUUCCUGGGGGCAUUGAGUCCCCCAGACACAAGGACCCAAGACCUUCUUGCUUGGAAAGUGAAUUACUCAGAAUUCCGAGAUGAUGCCAGUCUUGGAGGAAGAUGACAUGAGGACCCAAAACCUUCUUGCUUGGAAAGUGAAUUCCUGAGAAUUCCGAGAUGAUGCCAGUCUUGGAGAAAGAUGACAUGAGGACCCAAAACCUUCUUGCUUGGAAAGUGAAUUCCUGAGAAUUCCGAGAUGAUGCCAGUCUUGGAGGAAGAUGACAUGAGGACCCAAAACCUUCUUGCUUGGAAAGUGAAUUUCUCAGAACUCCACGAAGACUCCAGUCUUGGAGGAAGAUGACAUGAGGACCCAAAACCUUCUUGCUUGGAAAGUGAAUUCCUCAGAACUCCACGAAGACUCCAGUCUUGGAGGAAGACGAGGUGUUGAGAGAUAGCUGGGAUCCCUGAGGAAGGCAGCCCCAGUCUCCGGUGGAGAAUUAAGAGGGGCCCAAGCAGAUGGUUGGUGGUGGAAACGUCACCUCAGUAUAGUACUAUGGAGUUUCCUUUCACCCCCAACAGCUGGUGGUUUCCAGGGGUGAAGAGUGAAAAUUGAAGCAAGGUGUCUACUGUCCAGCUGUAGACAAGGAGGCAGUGCGCCUGCCAUCCCCAAGGAAGAGUCAGUUCAGAAGCACAGCAGCUGCUGGAAACCCAGGAGGUUUCCAGUUCGUUCCUGCUGGGACCUGGCAAGAACUGCACUGUCAAGGCUGCAAGAGGCUCCUGACGGCUUCUGACAUGUACGGAAUGGAAUAAGAGAACCUAGCAGAAAUGGAAGCAGAGGCAAGAGGUCUGGAGGCCAGGAAAAUGUCAAUGGAAAGCAGCUAGCAUGAAGACCCCACAGUGUUCCUCCCUCUAGUAGUCUGGUAUUAUUUGGAGCUGAGAUGCUCCCAAUAUGGUUGGGACAUUUGUCCCCUCCAAAUCUCAUGUGAGAAUUUGAUCCCCCGUUUUGGGGAUGGGGUCUAAUGGGAGGAGUUUGGGUCAUGAUGGGGGACCCCUCAUGAAUGGCUUUGUGCCCUGCUCACCAGGAAUGAAUGAGCUCUCACUCUACUAGUUCACUGGAGAGCUGGUUGUUUAAAGAGCCUGGCAUCUCCCCCACUUUCUCUCUUGCUCCCCCUUCUCACUGUGUGAUAUACCUGCUCCCCUUUGCCAUCCAUCAUGAGUGGAAGCUUCUUGAAGCCUCCACCUAAAGCAGAUGCCGACACUAUGCUUCCUGCACAGCCUGCCAUACCAUGAGCCAAUAAACCUGUUUUCUUUGUAAAUUA